rnacentral:rRNA from 1 species
GCAAGUCGAACGAGAUCCCGGAGCUUGAUACGGGGGACAGUGGCGAACGGGUGAGUAACACGUGAGAAACCUGCCCUAGAGACCGGGACAACCGUUGGAAACGACGGCUAAUACCGGAUGCCUUCACAUGGCCGCAUGGUCGAGUUAAGAAAGGCUCAUGCGCUCAAGGAGGAUCUCGCGGCCUAUCAGCUAGUUGGUGAGGUAACGGCUCACCAAGGCAUCGACGGGUAGCUGGUCUGAGAGGACGAUC